GUCAGAGAAGGUGCUUGACAUUAUUUCCAUUUUUAAAAAAAUCUUUUAAGACUUGUUUUGUGGCCUAACACACAGUCCAUUCUUAAGAAUGAUCCAUGUGCUAAGAAACCAAAUGUGUAUUCUGCAGCUGGAAAAAAAAUUGUUCCGUAAGUGUCUGUUAAUAUUAGGUCCAUUUGGUCUAACUGCAGACUAAGUCCAAUGUUUCUUACUUUAUUUUCUGUCCACAUGCUCAUCUAAUGCUGAAAGUGGGCUGUUGAAGUCUCCAGCUAUUAUUGUAUUGGGGUCUAUCUCUCUUUUUAGCUCUAAUAAUAUUUGCUUUAAAUAUCUAAUUGCUCCAGUGUUGGGUGCAUAUAUAUUUACAAUUAUUAUAUCUUCUUGCUGAAUUGACCUCUUUAUCAUUACUUAAUGAGCUUUUUUGUCUCUCUUCAUAGAUUUUUUUCUUGAAAUCUAUUUUAUUUUAUAUAAGUGUAGCUAGUCCUGCUCUUGUUUUGUUUUCAUUGGCAUAGAAUAUCUUUUUCCAACCCUUUAUUUUCAGUCUAUAUGUAUCUUUGUAGUUAAAGUAUCUUUUUUGUAGGCAACAGAUUAUUGGGUCUUGCUUUUUAAUCCAGUUAGUCACUCUAUGUCUUUUGAAUGGAGAGUUUAGUACAUUUGCAUUCAAUGUUACUCUUGAUAAGUAAGGAUUUACUCUUGCUGUUUUGUUGUUUUCUGAUUGUUUUGUGGUCUUUUAUUCCUUUAUUCCUUCCUUCCUAUCUUUCUUUAGUGAAGGUGCAUUUCUCUGGUGGUAUGUUUUAAUGUCUUGCUUUUUAUUUUUUGUGUGUUUGUUGUAGGUUUUUUUAUUUGACAUUAUCAUGAGGCUUGCAAGGAAUAUCUUAUAACCUGUUAUUUUAAACUGAUGAUAACUUACCACUGAUUAUAUAAACAAACUAACAAGCAAAAAAAAAAAAAACCUUAAUAAAAAGUCUACAUUUUAACUUUAUCCCUCCUUUUUAACUUUUUGUUGUUUCUAUUUAGUUCUUAUCAUAAUGUCUAUGUCUUGAAAAGUUGUACAUCUUAUUUUUGACAGGUUCAUCUUUUGGUCUUUCUACUCAACGUAUGUGUAGUUUGCACUCCACAAUUACAGUGUGAUGAUAUUGAUGAUAUUUUGUCUUACUGUGUCCUUGUCCUUCUUUUUUUUUUUUUUUUUUUUUUUUGAGAUAGGGUCUCACUCUUCCAGGCUGGAGUGGAGUGGCUCAAUUUUGGCUCACUACAACCUCCGCCUCCCAGGCACAAGCAAUCCUCCCACCUCAGCAUCCCAAGUAGCGUGAACCACCACACCUGGCUAAUUUUUGUGUUUUUUUUUAGAGAUGGGUUUUGUAUUUUUAGUAAGAUGGAUUUUGUGUUUUAUGUAGAGAUAUUUUUUGUAGAAAUGGGUUUCCUCAUGUCUCCCAGGCUUGUCUCAAACUCCUGAGCUCAAGUGAUCCUCCUUUCUUGGCCUCCCACAAUGCUGAGAUUACACCAUGCCUGGCCUGUACUUACUAUUAACAGUGAGUUUUGUACCUUCAGAUGAUUUCUUACUGCUCAUUAACAUCCUUUUUAUUUGAGAUUGAAGAACUCCUUUUAGCAUUCCUUUUAAGACAGGUCCAGUGUUGAAAUCCCUCAGCUUUUGUUGGUCUAGGAAAGUAUUUCUCCUUCAUGUUUGAAGGAUAUUUUCACUGGAUGUACUAUUCUAGGAUAAAAGUUUUUUCUUCAUCACUGUGAAUAUGUCAUGCCACUGUCUCCUAGCCUGUGAAGUUUCCAAUGAGAAACUUCUCUGCCAGGCAUAUUGAAGCUCCUUUUUAUGUUAUUUUUUUCCCUUGCUGUUUUUAAGAUCCAUUCUUUAUCCUAGACCUUUAGGAGUUUGAUUAUUAAAUGUUUUGAGGUAGUCUUAUUUUGAUUAAGGUGUUCUAUAGCCUUCUUGUACUUGAUUAUUAGUAUCUUUUUCUAGAUUUCAGAGGUUCUCUGUUCUUAUACCUUUGAAUAAACUUUCUAUCCCUAUCUCUCUUUCUAUCUUCUCUUUAAGGCCAAUAACUCUUAAAUUUGCCCUUUUGAGGCAAUCUUCUAGAUCUUGUAGGCAUACUUCAUUCUUUUUUAUUCUUUUUUCUUUUGUCUCUUCUGACUAUGUAUUUUAAAUAACCUAUCUUCAAGCUCACUAAUACUUUCUUUGGCUUGAUUAAUUCUGCUGUUAAAAGUCUGAUGUACUCUUCAGUAUGUCGUACUCUUCAGUAUGUCGAUUGCAUUUUCAGUUCUAGAAUUUCUGCUUGAUUCUUUUUAAUUAUUUUAAUUAAUUUGUUUAAUUUAUCUGAUAGGAUUCCAAAUUCCUUCUCUGUGUCAUCCUGAAUUUUGUUGUGCUUCCUCAAAACAGCUAUUUUGUUGUUUUUGUCUAUUUUCUUUUUUUGAGACAGGGGCUCACUCAGUCCUCCAGGCUGAAGUGCAAUGGUGUGAUCAUGGCUCAAUGCAGCCUCUACCUCCCAGGCUCAAGCAAUCCUCCUGCCUGAUCCUCCGAAGUAAUUGAGAUCACAGACAUAUGAUAUCACCAUACCCAGCUAAUUAAUAAAAUUUUUUUUGUAGAGAUGGGGUCCCACUAUGUUGCCCAGACUGGUUUGAAACUCCUGGGCUCAAGUAGUCCUCGUCUCACCCUCGCAAAGUGCUGGAAUUACAGACAUGAGCCACUGCACCCAAACAAACAGCUAUUUUGGAUCAUCUGUCUGAGAGUUCACAUACUUCGGUCUCUCUGGACUGGGCACUGGUGUCUCAUUUAGUUUGGUUAGGUCAUGUUUUUCUGGGUGGUCUUGAUGCUUGUGGAUGUUCAUUGGUAUCUGGGCAUUGAAUAUUUAGGUAUUUAUUGAAGUCUUUACAGUCUGUGCUUGUUUUUACCCAUCCUUCUUGGAAAGCUUUCCGAUAAUUCAAAGGGACCUGAAUGUUAUGAUCUAAGUCUUUGGUCACUGUAGCCAUGUCUCCAUUUAGAGGACAUCCCAAGGCCAGUAGCACUGUGGCUCUUGCAGUCUCAUAGAUGUACCACUUUGGUGCUCUUGGGUAAGAUCUGGAGGAAUUCCUUGAAUUACCAGGGAGAGACUCUUGUUCUCUUCCUUACUUUACCCCAAACAAAUGGAGUCUCUCUCUCUUCCCUUACUUUCCCCCAGACAAACUGGGUCUCUCUCUCUUUCUCUGUGCUGACCUGCCUAGAGCUGGAGGAGGGGUGACACAAGCACCCCUGUGGCCACCACCACUGAUACAGAACUGGGUCAGACUUGAAGCCAACACAGCACUCGGUCUCACUCAAGGCCCACAGUGACCACUGCCUGGCUACCGCCUAUGUUCACUCAAGGCCCAAGGACUCUACAAUCAGCAGGUGGCAAAUUCAGCCAGGUUUGUGUCCUUCCCUUCAGGGCAAGGAGUUCCCUGGGGCCCUGGGCAGGUCCUGAAAUGCUGUCUGGGAGCCAGGGCCUGGAGUCAGGAAUCUUAGGAAUCUACCUGGUACUGUAUUCUACUGCAGCUGAGCUGGCACCCAAGCCACAAGACAAAGCUCUUACCACUCUUCUCCCCUUUCCUCAUGCAGAGGAGUGUCUCCCAGUGGCCACCACUGCCCCAGGCUGGUGGUAAGUAAUUCCUGGUUACCUCCUAUGUUGACUCAAGGCCCAAGGACUCUGAAGUCAGCUUGUGGUAAAUGCUGCCAGGCCUGGGUCUUUCUCUUCAGGGCAGUUGACUCCCCUCUGGCCCAGGACUUGUCCAGAAAUGCCAUCCAGAAUCCAAGGCCUGGAAUCAAGGACCCCAGGUGCCUGCUUGGUGCUCUAUCCCACUGUGGCUGAGCUGGUAACCAAGCUGCAAGACAUAGUCCCCUUUACUCAUUCCUCUCCUUUUCUUAAACAGAAAAAAAGUCUCCUUGUGGCCAAUACAGCUGUAAAUGUGCUAGGUCACACCUGAAGCCAGCAUAGCUGUGAGCCGAACCCAAGGCCUGCAGUGAGUACUGCCUGGCUUCCACUGUUGAUUAUUCAGGGCCCAAGUGCUCUUUAGUCAGCUGGUGAUAAAUCCUGCCCAUUCUGAGUCCUUCCUGUCAAGGCAAUGGGUUCCCUUCUGGCAAAAGGUGUGUCUACAAAUGUCAACAGGGAUAGGGCCUGGAACGAGGGGCCUCAGGACUCUGCCUGGUCCCCUGUUCUACUGUGGUUCAGCUAGUACCCAAGUUGCAAGACAUAGUGCUAUUUUCUCUCCCCUCUCCUCUCUUCAAGUGGAGUCUCUCCUGGAGCUGUGAGCUGCAUUACCAGGGUCUGGGGGAGGGGUGGCUCAAGCACUCCCUCGGCCUCCCCAGCUGGUGUCUCACUAGAUUGUAUGCAUCCCAAGUCCACUGCUCUGAACCCAGCACAACAUCAGGACUUGCCCAGGAAUUGCAGUCCUUGUGGCCUAGGCUACCUUUCAAGUUUAUUUAGGACCCCAUAGCACACAAAGUGGUGGGGUUUGCAGGAACUCAGGUUCUGACCACUGGAAUGGAUGAUUUGCCUCUGGCUAGGGCUGGUCUAAAUGCUCCGUUUCGUGGGUACUGGCUGAUUUCUGCCCCCUUUUGCUUUCUGCUAUAACAGGGUAGCACUGAGUUCCAGUGCAAAGUCCCACAAUCAAUGCAUUCUCCCUCCCCAACGUGCACAGAUUCUCUCUCCAAGCCACAUGGCUGCUACCAGGCAAUGUGGUAGGAGCGGCAUUGGCAAUUCAAGACUGCCUUUUCAAGACACAACAAAAAAAGAAAAUUUCAGGCCAAUAUCCCUGAUGAACAUUAAUGUGAAAAUUCUCAAUAAAAUACUGGCAAACUGAAUCCAGCGGCACAUCAAAAAGCUUAUCCAUUACGAUCAAGUCGGCUUCAUACCG
rnacentral:lncRNA from 1 species